AGACCUUGGGCCGAGCCGCUCCAGCUGCUCAACCGAACUACAACUCCCAGAAUCCUUUGCACAUAGCACCUCGGCUUCUCAGGCCGCUUCCCAGAGGACCUCAGAGCGCCUUCUACUACUUCUGCUCUAGAGUAAGCUCUCUCAAUUUCGCACGAUGGAUGCACGUGGCUCGCCCAUUGCUGCCCGUCCUUCGAUGCAGGCGUUGUGUAUCGUGUGCCGUGGGACUUUCAUUCUGGGUUACAGCAUCCCGAACGAUCGUGAACCUUACCCAUGCAGGCUUCCCAUUUUUUCUCUUUAAGAGGAAAUGCCUGGAUGCGUCCCCUACAAGGCUGUUUGCCUGGACCAAGCUUUCACUUAUAUUUUAUUUUUAAAUUAUAUUUGUUUGUUUUUGUUAAUUUAUUUGGCUGUAUGACACAACAUGCCUAUAGCGAGCGGUCAGAAGACAACUUACUAGAGUCGGUUGUCUCUCCACCAUAUGAGUCCAGUUUGGUGGCAGGUACUUUUAUCCACCGUGUAGUGUGCCAGCCUCCACUUUCAUCAAACUUGUAACUAAGAACUGAUUGAUACCUUCUGUGAAAUGACUAAGGGUCUUCUCUGUAGCAUCUUCCCCUGGUUUCCAUGAAGGGACCAAUAUCUCCUUUCAUCAAGAUGGCUCCUUGUUCUACCAGAUGGAACUAAGGACAUUACUUGCUGGCAUGCCUGGAGAAGACCUGGAUAUAGUAAUGAUUUUACUUGCUGCCUCUGGGAAAACCAGAUCUACACACACAGUACAUACACAGCUCUAUCCUCUAGAUUGCCUUCUAUUCUGUGGAACAAGUUGCUGAACAAGGAGGUCUGUGGUUGCCUAGUGCUGUUAACACCAGGGCAGCUCAUCUGUCCAGGGCUGGGUUCACCAGCUAUGCACCCAAAGCCAUCUCCUUUGGCUCUUUGGUCUGUCAGGUGGCUCUGAACUCAGGUGGGUAGCGACCCGCAGAUCAUGUGCCCCACACUCAUUCAGGACAAGUUCUGAGUCCUCACCCAGUGAGAUGAUGCUCUCAUAGUUCUCUAGCAUCACAGCCUUGUAGAGCGCCCUCUGCACGGGUACCAGACGCUUCCACUCGUCAUCUGUGAAAGUCACCGCCACAUCUUCAAAUGUCACCGAUGCCUGAAAAUACAACCAUACUCCCCCUUACAA